GAUGAACGCUAGCUACAGGCUUAACACAUGCAAGUCGAGGGGCAGCAUGCUGAUAGCUUGCUAUCAGUGAUGGCGACCGGCGCACGGGUGAGUAACGCGUAUCCAACCUGCCUGUCACUCAGGAAUAGCCCGGUGAAAACCGGAUUAAGUCCUGAUGAUAUCAUUAGAGGGCAUCUGACGAUGAUUAAAGGUUACGGUGACGGAUGGGGAUGCGUCUGAUUAGCUAGAUGGCGGGGUAACGGCCCACCAUGGCGACGAUGUCUAGGGGUUCUGAGAGGAAGGUCCCCCACACUGGAACUGAGACACGGUCCAGACUCCUACGGGAGGCAGCAGUGGGGAAUAUUGGGCAAUGGGCGCAAGCCUGACCCAGCAACGCCGCGUGAAGGAAGAAGGCCUUCGGGUUGUAAACUUCUUUUACCAGGGACGAAUAAUGACGGUACCUGGAGAAAAAGCAACGGCUAACUACGUG
rnacentral:rRNA from 1 species